GCCCUGGUGGCACAGUGGUUAAAUGCAUGUACUGCAGCCACUCACUUAUAAACCACAAGGUUGCGAGUUCAAUACUAGCCAGGGCU
rnacentral:tRNA from 1 species